AUUGAACGCUGGCGGCAGGCCUAACACAUGCAAGUCGAACGAGUGGCGGACGGGUGAGUAAUGUCUGGGAAACUGCCCGAUGGAGGGGGAUAACUACUGGAAACGGUAGCUAAUACCGCAUCCUAUCGGAUGUGCCCAGAUGGGAUUAGCUAGUAGGUGGGGUAACGGCUCACCUAGGCGACGAUCUCUCGCUGGUCUGAGAGGAUGACCAGCCACACUGGGACUGAGACACGGUCCAGACUCCUACGGUAGGCAGCAGUGGGGAAUAUUGCACAAUGGGAGCAAGCCUGAUACAGCCAUGCCGCGUGUAUGAAGAAGGCCUUCGGGUUGUAAAGUACUUUCAGCGAGGAGGCGUUACUCGCAGAAGAAGCACCGGCUAACUCCGUGCCAGCAGCCGCGGUAAUUC
rnacentral:rRNA from 1 species